CCUGGAUCUGCCACAGCGAGACAGCUCGACUUUUAAUCAACCAACAUCCAAAUUAGGGAAUUGUUUACACGCCAUGGAGUAUAAACACACAUUUAAUCCGGACGGUUCACCAAAGAAACGACGAUUUCGCACGACCUUUACAGCCAAACAGCUUCAAGAGCUAGAGAAAGUGUUCCGCGUGACACAUUACCCGGAUGUAAAUACACGAGAUGACUUAAGCCAUAAAACGGAUCUCAGUGAAGAAAGAGUUCAGAUUUGGUUUCAAAACAGACGAGCAAAAUGGAGGAAAUAUGAACGCCUGGGGAAUUUUGGCGGGCUUCAUGAAAUCAAGGCACUCAA